UAGAGUUUGAUUAUGGCUCAGGAUGAACGCUGGCGGCGUGCUUACACAUGCAAGUCGAGCGAAGCGGAUAUGCGGAAUUUUUCGGAAGGAAGCAUAACUGACUGAGCGGCGGACGGGUGAGUAACGCGUGGAUAACCUGCCUCAUACAAGGGGAUAACAGUUAGAAAUGACUGCUAAUACCGCAUAAGCGCACAGAGAUGCAUGUCUCGGUGUGAAAAGCUGAGGCGGUAUGAGAUGGAUCCGCGUCUGAUUAGCUGGUUGGCGGGGUAGAGGCCCACCAAGGCGACGAUCAGUAGCCGACCUGAGAGGGUGGCCGGCCACAUUGGGACUGAGACACGGCCCAAACUCCUACGGGAGGCAGCAGUGGGGGAUAUUGCACAAUGGGGGAAACCCUGAUGCAGCAACGCCGCGUGAGUGAAGAAGUAUUUCGGUAUGUAAAGCUCUAUCAGCAGGGAAGAGAAUGACGGUACCUGACUAAGAAGCCCCGGCUAACUACGUGCCAGCAGCCGCGGUAAUACGUAGGGGGCGAGCGUUAUCCGGAUUUACUGGGUGUAAAGGGAGCGUAGACGGCUGGUCAAGUCUGAAGUGAAAGCCCGGGGCUUAACCCCGGAACGGCUUUGGAAACUGAGCAGCUAGAGUGCUGGAGAGGUAAGCGGAAUUCCUAGUGUAGCGGUGAAAUGCGUAGAUAUUAGGAGGAACACCAGUGGCGAAGGCGGCUUACUGGACAGUAACUGACGUUGAGGCUCGAAAGCGUGGGGAGCAAACAGGAAUUAAAACCCUGG
rnacentral:rRNA from 1 species